rnacentral:rRNA from 1 species
UACGAAGGGGGCUAGCGUUGCUCGGAAUUACUGGGCGUAAAGGGCGCGUAGGCGGACAGUUUAGUCAGAGGUGAAAGCCCAGGGCUCAACCUUGGAAUUGCCUUUGAUACUGGCUGUCUUGAGUUCGGGAGAGGUGAGUGGAAUGCCGAGUGUAGAGGUGAAAUUCGUAGAUAUUCGGCGGAACACCAGUGGCGAAGGCGGCUUCCUGGCCUGUUCUUGACGCUGAGGCGCGAAAGCUAGGGGAGCAAACGGG